rnacentral:rRNA from 1 species
UAACAAGGAUUCCCCUAGUAACUGCGAGUGAAGUGGGAAAAGCUCAAAUUUAAAAUCUGGCAGAUUUUUGUCUGUCCGAGUUGUAACCUAGAGAAGUGUAACCUGUGCUGGACCGUGUACAAGUCUCCUGGAAUGGAGCAUCAUAGAGGGUGAGAAUCCCGUCUUUGACAUGGACUACCAGUGCACUGUGGUUGCGCACUCGACGAGUCGAGUUGUUUGGGAAUGCAGCUCUAAAUGGGUGGUAAAUUCCAUCUAAAGCUAAAUAUUGGCGAGAGACCGAUAGCGAACAAGUACCGUGAGGGAAAGAUGAAAAGAACUUUGGAAAGAGAGUUAAACAGUAUGUGAAAUUGUUGAAAGGGAAACGCUUGAAGUCAGCUGCAUUGGCUGGGGAUCAAGCCAGCUUAUUUGCUGGGUGUACUUCCUGGUUGAUGGGCCAACAUCAGUUUUGACCAUCAGAGAAAGGCCAAGGGAAUGUGGCACCUUUAUAGGUGUGUUAUAGCCCUUGGUUGUAUGUGGUGGUUGGGACUGAGGAUAGCAGCGUGCCACAAGGCUGGGUUUCGACCACGUUCACGCUUGGGAUGUUGGCAUAAUGGCUUUAAGCGAC